AGCCAGUGAUGUAAGGAUAAUAUUUGCUACUCUUGAUGGGGGUUAUAACCCCCCUCUGAUGAUUAUUUAUCCACCAAGAUCUCUGAGGCU